GCGGCGGUGUUGGAAUCGGGUAGACAAUUCGGUCUUAAAAACCGAUGAGCGCCAGCUCGUGCGGGUUCGAAUCCCGCUCGCCGCACCA
rnacentral:tRNA from 1 species